UACGAAGGGGGCUAGCGUUGCUCGGAAUUACUGGGCGUAAAGCGCACGUAGGCGGUCUUUUAAGUCGGUGGUGAAAUCCUGGAGCUCAACUCCAGAACUGCCUUCGAUACUGGAAGACUUGAGUCCGGGAGAGGUGAGUGGAACUGCGAGUGUAGAGGUGAAAUGCGUAGAUAUUCGCAAGAACACCAGUGGCGAAGGCGGCUCACUGGCCCGGUACUGACGCUGAGGUGCGAAAGCGUGGGGAGCAAACAGG
rnacentral:rRNA from 1 species